rnacentral:misc_RNA from 1 species
UGGAUAGUCUCUAUAUAGUAAAGGAG